rnacentral:piRNA from 1 species
UGUGGCCCGAGAUGAUGAUAAAACAUGA